CAAAUCUUUGCGAGUGCUGCGUGCUUUGCUGUGCGUCAGUAUCUCACAACAUUAGCACAAGGUCGCAAGGCCUUGAUGUUUACGCUUGUUUGUUUGACAGAGUUAGUUGAGACAAUAAUAGA
rnacentral:misc_RNA from 1 species